CGUAGGGUGCGAGCGUUAAUCGGAAUUACUGGGCGUAAAGCGUGCGCAGGCGGUUUUGUAAGACAGGCGUGAAAUCCCCGGGCUCAACCUGGGAAUGGCGCUUGUGACUGCAAGGCUAGAGUAUGUCAGAGGGGGGUAGAAUUCCACGUGUAGCAGUGAAAUGCGUAGAGAUGUGGAGGAAUACCGAUGGCGAAGGCAGCCCCCUGGGACGUCACUGACGCUCAUGCACGAAAGCGUGGGGAGCAAACAGGAUUAGAUACCCUGGUAGUCCACGCCCUAAACGAUGUCAACUAGUUGUUGGGGAUUCAUUUCUUCAGUAACGUAGCUAACGCGUGAAGUUGACCGCCUGGGGAGUACGGUCGCAAGAUUA
rnacentral:rRNA from 1 species